rnacentral:rRNA from 1 species
GACGAACGCUGGCGGCGUGCUUAACACAUGCAAGUCGAGCGGUAAGGCCCUUUCGGGGGUACACGAGCGGCGAACGGGUGAGUAACACGUGGGUGACCUGCCCUCAGCUCUGGGAUAAGCCUGGGAAACCGGGUCUAAUACCGGAUAUGACUCCAUGACGCAUGUUGUGGGGUGGAAAGCCUUGUGCGGCUGAGGAUGGGCCCGCGGCCUAUCAGCUUGUUGGUGGGGUGAUGGCCUACCAAGGCGACGACGGGUAGCCGGCCUGAGAGGGCGACCGGCCACACUGGGACUGAGACACGGCCCAGACUCCUACGGGAGGCAGCAGUGGGGAAUCUUGGACAAUGGGCGCAAGCCUGAUCCAGCCAUGCCGCGUGAGUGACGAAGGCC